rnacentral:lncRNA from 1 species
UACAUCAUGUAACAUCAGUAUCGAUCAGCAGUAUUAAAAAGUGGAACAAACGCUGUGGAGAAACGGCUGACUGUGACUCAAGCCAGAAAUAGACAAGAAAGGUUCAAAACAUCUCGGGUGCCAGAAAAUAAGGAAGUGCUCAAAACUAAAAGAGAAGGGGGAAGAAAAUUGACGGGAGCACGCCAGAGGAACUCAGGAUGAAGUGAAGAGCCUGCAGUGGGGAGAUCUAGAAGCAUCGGAGCCAUAAAGUAAGGAAGCCUCAAUCAACCCAAGGAGGAUGAAAUGACAGCCGACCUCUCACGGAGUGCUGAUGACUGAAAGGAAGUGAGUUAAGACUGCCCUCUGUUUGCCACGCCCACGCCACUGGGACCAGGAACUGUGCAAGUUCUGUGUAAGUUGUACAUCUGAAGGAGACAUUUCACUUCUGGGUGCCACCGUUGCAGGUUGACAGGUACACUGGAUAAUAAUGAGGUGGAGCACUCAGAACUGAGCCACACUGUGACACAGAAGUCGUUAAUGAAGUGAAGAUGUUUAGCCAGGACUGCUGCAGAGACUCCAGAAAUAAGAGUUAUCUUCAAAGACUUGACAGCGGUCACUAGAGAAUAAAAUUAAACUUUUUACAAGAUGACAGAACUAUCUUCUUAAAGAACACGGAAACAAACUGAGUUACAUUCAGGCCUCUUGACACUAAAACCUUCUGAAACAUCAGAAGCGUCAAAAUGUUCCCCUGUGGAACUGUAAGUAUAGCUUCAUUUGGUCUCAGGUUGAGCCAUUACCUUUAAGGAGGUUCUAUUUAUUACUGCCAACUUCAGUCAUCUCUUUAAGAAACUCCCAGAAGCUAACUCAAUAGUUCUGGGGUCUGUGCUUACGAAUAAAAAGGUUAUCAGCUCCUAAGAUGGGAUGAAGACGUUUGAAUUAAAGAUUGUCCUCAACCAAAAAGAAGCAGGACACAGCACAUGUCCUAUUUUUCCAUAUGACAUAUGGAUGGAAAGAAAGAUAGGUUUAGUACUGUACAGGUGAUAUUGCUAUUUGGUGGGUAAGAUGGUACUUACACAUCCAGCCCUCGGGAGACUAAGGCAAGAGGAUUCCAUGUUCCAGUCUAGCCUGGGCUCACAGCGAGACAUUGUCUCAAACAAAAUCACAGAAGAAAAAAAAAAAAAAACCUUGCAGUCAUUUCUCACUUGGAGACCAUAGUGAUUGAAUGAGAAUCGGUUCCCAUAACUCCUAUGCUUGAAUACUUGGUCCCCAGUUGAUGAAACUGUUUGGGAAGGAUUAAAAAAAGUGGUCUUGUGGUGGUGGUGGGGGGCUAUUUGGGGUGGGUCUUGAAGUUUCAGAAGAUUGGUGUCAUUCCCAGUAUGCCCUAAUAUUCCAGCCUUCACCCAGCCAUCCCUUCACUCAACCAUCAUGGAAUUAUAAGCCCAGUUAAACUCUUUUAUAGGUUAUCUUGGUCAUGGUGUUUUCCCACAGAAAUAGAAAAGUAACAAAUGCAGAAACUGACAACCAGCAGUCUGUCACGUGCCUAUUCAUUCUGCUAUUGAACUGAAUACCUCUUACCAAUCACCUUUUCAUUGCUUUGACAAAAUACAUUAGUUAAUCAACUUUAUAAACAAAGGCUUAGGGCUGAAGAGAUGGCUCAGUGUUAAGAGCAAUGGCUGCUUUUCUGAGGGUUCUGAGUUCAAAUCCCAGCAACCAUAUGGUGGCUCACAACCAUCUGUAAUCUGAUGUCCUCUUCUGGAAUGUCUGACGACAGCUACAGU